ensembl:snoRNA small nucleolar RNA SNORD59
CCUUCACUGAUGAGUAAAUUUAUGACUUUCGUUCUUCUGAGAUUGCUGAAGCCACUCUUAUUUCUGAGAAGG